rfam:Ricinus communis cultivar Hale ctg_1100012362392, whole genome shotgun sequence.
GUAUCUAUGGUGUGGGUAUUGCAAUAAAAAUGAUUUGAAACGAUCUCAUACUUCAUGAAAGGACUUAGUAUCCUUUUGAUCAAAAUUAAAAAUUUCAGCUCUUAAUUC